rnacentral:rRNA from 1 species
CCUACGGGAGGCAGCAGUAGGGAAUCUUCCACAAUGGGCGAAAGCCUGAUGGAGCAACGCCGCGUGGGUGAAGAAGGUCUUCGGAUCGUAAAACCCUGUUGUUAGAGAAGAAAGUGCGUGAGAGUAACUGUUCACGUUUCGACGGUAUCUAACCAGAAAGCCACGGCUAACUACGUGCCAGCAGCCGCGGCAAUACGUAGGUGGCAAGCGUUAUCCGGAUUUAUGGGGGGUAAAGGGAGCGAAGGCGGUAUUUUAAGUCUGAUGUGAAAGCCUUCGGCUUAACCGGAGUAGUGCAUGGGAAACUGGGAGACUUGAGUGCAGAAGAGGAGAGUGGAACUCCAUGUGUAGCGGUGAAAUGCGUAGAUAUAUGGAAGAACACCAGUGGCGAAGGCGGCUCUCUGGUCUGUAACUGACGCUGAGGUUCGAAAGCGUGGGUAGCAAACAGGAUUAGAUACCCGAGUAGUC